rnacentral:lncRNA from 1 species
UUUAUAUACAGUAAAAUUGAGAAUGGAAAUGGGGAAUGUGUCAAAGAGACAACAACCCGACCAAAUAAAAAACAACAGCAGAGGGUCACCAACAGGUCUUCAAUGUAGCGAGAAAUUCCCGCACCCGGAGGCGUCCUUCAGCUGGCCCCUAAACAAAUAUAUACUAGUCCAGUGAUAAUGAACGCCAUACUAAUUUCCAAAUUGUACACAAGAAACUAAAAAUUAAAAUAAUACAAGACUAACAAAGGCCA